AGAGUUUGAUCCUGGCUCAGGAUGAACGCUAGCGACAGGCUUAACACAUGCAAGUCGAGGGGCAGCACAGGUAGCAAUACCGGGUGGCGACCGGCGCACGGGUGAGUAACGCGUAUGCAACUUGCCUAUCAGAGGGGGAUAACCCGGCGAAAGUCGGACUAAUACCGCAUGAAGCAGGGAUCCCGCAUGGGAAUAUUUGCUAAAGAUUCAUCGCUGAUAGAUAGGCAUGCGUUCCAUUAGGCAGUUGGCGGGGUAACGGCCCACCAAACCGACGAUGGAUAGGGGUUCUGAGAGGAAGGUCCCCCACAUUGGUACUGAGACACGGACCAAACUCCUACGGGAGGCAGCAGUGAGGAAUAUUGGUCAAUGGCCGAGAGGCUGAACCAGCCAAGUCGCGUGAGGGAUGAAGGUUCUAUGGAUCGUAAACCUCUUUUAUAAGGGAAUAAAGUGCGGGACGUGUCCCGUUUUGUAUGUACCUUAUGAAUAAGGAUCGGCUAACUCCGUGCCAGCAGCCGCGGUAAUACGGAGGAUCCGAGCGUUAUCCGGAUUUAUUGGGUUUAAAGGGUGCGUAGGCGGCCUUUUAAGUCAGCGGUGAAAGUCUGUGGCUCAACCAUAGAAUUGCCGUUGAAACUGGGGGGCUUGAGUAUGUUUGAGGCAGGCGGAAUGCGUGGUGUAGCGGUGAAAUGCAUAGAUAUCACGCAGAACCCCGAUUGCGAAGGCAGCCUGCCAAGCCAUUACUGACGCUGAUGCACGAAAGCGUGGGGAUCAAACAGGAUUAGAUACCCUGGUAGUCCACGCAGUAAACGAUGAUCACUAGCUGUUUGCGAUACACUGUAAGCGGCACAGCGAAAGCGUUAAGUGAUCCACCUGGGGAGUACGCCGGCAACGGUGAAACUCAAAGGAAUUGACGGGGGCCCGCACAAGCGGAGGAACAUGUGGUUUAAUUCGAUGAUACGCGAGGAACCUUACCCGGGUUUGAACGCAUUCGGACCGAGGUGGAAACACCUUUUCUAGCAAUAGCCGUUUGCGAGGUGCUGCAUGGUUGUCGUCAGCUCGUGCCGUGAGGUGUCGGCUUAAGUGCCAUAACGAGCGCAACCCUUGCCACUAGUUACUAACAGGUAAAGCUGAGGACUCUGGUGGGACUGCCAGCGUAAGCUGCGAGGAAGGCGGGGAUGACGUCGAAUCAGCACGGCCCUUACAUCCGGGGCGACACACGUGUUACAAUGGCGUGGACAAAGGGAAGCCACCUGGCGACAGGGAGCGAAUCCCCAAACCACGUCUCAGUUCGGAUCGGAGUCUGCAACCCGACUCCGUGAAGCUGGAUUCGCUAGUAAUCGCGCAUCAGCCAUGGCGCGGUGAAUACGUUCCCGGGCCUUGUACACACCGCCCGUCAAGCCAUGGGAGCCGGGGGUACCUGAAGUCCGUAACCGCGAGGAUCGGCCUAGGGUAAAACUGGUGACUGGGGCUAAGUCGUAACAAGGUA
rnacentral:rRNA from 1 species